AAAACGACUCUCGGCAACGGAUAUUUCGG
rnacentral:rRNA from 1 species